GACAGAGGAUGCAAGCGUUAUCCGGAAUGAUUGGGCGUAAAGCGUCUGUAGGUGGCUUUUCAAGUCCGCCGUCAAAUCCCAGGGCUCAACCCUGGACAGGCGGUGGAAACUACCAAGCUGGAGUACGGUAGGGGCAGAGGGAAUUUCCGGUGGAGCGGUGAAAUGCGUAGAUAUCGUCAGGAAUGCCGGUGGUGAAGACGGGUGACUGGGCUGGUUCUGACACUGAGGCACGAAAGCGUGGGGAGCGAACGGG
rnacentral:rRNA from 1 species